rnacentral:rRNA from 1 species
UACGUAGGGGCCGAGCGUUGUCCGGAGUUACUGGGCGUAAAGCGCGCGCAGGCGGCGCGGUAAGCAUGGCGUGAAAGCCCCCGGCUCAACCGGGGAGGGUCGCCGUGGACUGCCGUGCUUGAGGGCGGCAGGGGUCGGUGGAAUGCCCGGUGUAGUGGUGAAAUGCGUAGAUAUUGGGAGGAACACCAGUGGCGAAGGCGGCUCACUGGACCGGUACUGACGCUGAGGCGCGAAAGCGUGGGGAGCAAACAGG